GUGUAUGUGUGUGCGUCUUCAGACGGUUGUUAGCUUUUGGUUGACAGUUGUUUGGGAUGCGCACGGCACCCACCAAAAUAUGGCUGUUGGUUCCAUAUACGGUGAUGAUUAACAGGAGCGGUUGGGGGCAUCAGUAUUUGUCCGCGAGAGGUGAAAUUCUUAGACCGGACAAGGACUAACAAAUGCAAAGGCACUUGUCUAGACCGUAUCCAUUAAUCAAGAACGAAAGUGGGAGGUUCGAAGACGAUCAGAUACCGUCAUAGUUCCCACCGUAAACUAUGCCGACCUGGGAUCAGUUUAGAGAUGUUACAAGCUCUAGAUUGGUCCCCCUGGGAAACCUAAAGUUUUUCGGUUACGGGGAGAGUAUGGUCGCAAGGCUGAAACUUAAAGGAAUUGACGGAAGGGCACCACCAGGGGUGGAGCCUGCGGCUUAAUUUGACUCAACACGGGGAAACUUACCUGGUCCGGACAUCGAUAGGAUUAACAGAUCAAUAGCUCUUUUAUGAUCCGAUGAGUGGUGGUGCAUGGCCGUUCUUAGUUCGUGGAGUGAUCUGUCAGCCUAAUUGCGGUAACGAACGAGACCACAGUCUCCAUUUAAGAGAUGGAAGAAGACGUGUGGACUCUGUGACUUUGCGGUUGCCGUGUCUACACGUUGUAGGAAGAUCGGUGUGCUCUUUGGUGGGUGUAGUGGGGCAACUUGCUGCAUUCGUCUUGGAGUGUGCUGUUUCUCCCUUUCAUCGCGCAGCAGUCGGUCUCGACUGGCUGUUGUCUUAUGGAGAG
rnacentral:rRNA from 1 species